ACUCAAAGGAAUUGACGGGGGCCCGCACAAGCAGCGGAGCAUGUGGUUUAAUUCGAAGCAACGCGAAGAACCUUACCAAGGCUUGACAUCCUAAGAAUCCUAAAGAGAUUUGGGAGUGCCCUUCGGGGAACUUAGAGACAGGUGGUGCAUGGUUGUCGUCAGCUCGUGUCGUGAGAUGUUGGGUUAAGUCCCGCAACGAGCGCAACCCCUAUUGUUAGUUGCUACCAUUAAGUUGAGCACUCUAGCGAGACUGCCGAGGUUAACUCGGAGGAAGGUGGGGAUGACGUCAAAUCAUCAUGCCCUUUAUGCCUUGGGCAACACACGUGCUACAAUGGCCGGUACAAAAAGUUGCAAACUCGUGAGGGGGAGCUAAUCUUUAAAACCGGUCCCAGUUCGGAUUGUAGGCUGCAACUCGCCUACAUGAAGCUGGAGUUGCUAGUAAUCGUGAAUCAGAAUGUCACGGUGAAUGCGUUCCCGGGCCUUGCACACACCGCCCGU
rnacentral:rRNA from 1 species